rnacentral:lncRNA from 1 species
UCCUCUCAUCGCCUGGGUGGACAUGGAGACCUGCCCGAAGACACUCACCAUUUUCUGUGGAUGGAUCUGUGCGCACGUAGGACUAUCCGGUCCCGAUCCCCUGUAAAGAGACAGAGGGAGGUAGGACCGGACCAAAGGGGGUCCCCAUGGGCUAAAUUCCUUCUGUGGGUCGCAGAUACCACCAGGGAUCCCCAAAGCCAUGUGUUAUCAAGUAGAGUAACAGCUUGGUGAACCAGAACUUCACAGCCCGUCAGAUACAUUCACUCUGUGCUUCCCAGAUACCAUCAGAGACACACCUCUACUCAAAGCCGUUUGUUAUCAAAUACGGUGACAGCUUGGAGAACCUGAACUUCGCGUGUACGUGCAUGAAUUUGUAACUUAAAAGAAAUGUUGCCAUCCAGGGCUUUGGUCCGACCAGACUUAGCGUUUGGGACCCGUGAGAUGGCUUAGCAGGAGAGUGCACCUGUUGCCAAGCCUGACAACCUGAGUUCGAUCCCGGGACCCACAUGGUGGAAGGCGAGUACUCCCUUACAUCUCAUCUGCCUGUUCCGAAACAGCCCACAGCUGUUACGGGAGAAAUCCAGUCAUACUUCAGGCAGGGGUUAAAAUCCACAAUUUACAUAGAACUGCCAAAGUUAAAUACCGAGGGAACAAAGCUGCCACCUGGACUGGUGAAGGGAACAGACUUUGGCUCCAUCCUGGAGCUGCCCUUAGCAGAGGAUGGGGGGGUGUGGAUACCUGCCCCUGCCUCCGUGCUGCCAUGGCAACCACUCCAGAGCACAUCGCUAAAACCACCCCUUGACUCUGGGGCCCGCCCCUUGGCCAAUCUUCUCAUCUGUUUACUGAGUCGCCUUCCCUGUGACUACUUUGGAUCCCUGUCUUGGGGGUCUGCCCCUAGAGGAUCGCAAUGGAGACAAGUUCUUCCCAGCACCCCGCGGACAGUCAACACCCACCAAGGAGGUCCUCCCCUCCCCCACUCGCGCCACAGACUGACAGUCCACAGCUGGCAACAGCCCAGAGACCUGGUGGGCUGGGGCAGGCACUGUGGUGGCGGCUGAUGCAGCGGGGUGACGGCCCCUGCUAGUAAACAGCAAGAAACAACUCAACAAAAGGAAACACCCGUGGAUGCAGAGAAAGAAGAAUGGCCGCCAUAGCCAUUCUAGAAAGCACAGCAAGCCCACAGCUGAGGUGUCAGCUGCAGGAAAGAGGAUCCCAGCUGUUCAGGAGGCUGAGCCCAGAGACUGGAGACCGUUUGAGAGCAUGACAGAUGUCAAGACUGCCAGGCCAGCCUAGACUACUGAGUAACCCUGACUCAAAAUGCAAAAAUAAAAUAAAACAAGAUG